CGAUGCCGAGGAGUCCCACAACAGGACGAAACGGCCGUUCAGUGU
rfam:Schistosoma curassoni strain Dakar, Senegal genome assembly, scaffold: SCTD_scaffold0004470